AGUGUGCAGGCAGAGAUCUCUGAGAACUAAGAUGGUACAGAAAUGGAGGUGGGGGUGUGGGCAAGGAAUGGCAUUACAGGCAGAGGAAGCUGACAUGUUCUGAGAUGAGAAACAGUGUAGAAUCUUUGGUGAACUGCAAGUGUGCCGCAGGGGGUGUGGAGUGGUGACAUGAAAACCUGCUGGAGCCGUGUCAUGGCUAUGCUUUAUGCCCCUAUCCCAUGACACUGUAGAGUAUUUCCUGCUGGACACUAAAGGAUUAUAAACAAAACUUUCAAAGGAUGAAAUGGAGAGAAGUAAGACUUAUGCAUCUGAAAGAUGAAUUCUUCUGGGAAAGCAGCCAGCAUCCCGCUCUGACUGCAGCACUCGCAGCCCCCUAGUGGAGCUACUGUCGCCCCAAACUGAAGCAAGGUUGGCUGAAAACCAAUGCAAAUGAAAUAAUAACCCACAAGAGGGAAGAUGUGUACAAGCUGGCCUUUGUGUAAGCUUUUGUGUGAGAGCCCUCAGUGCCAAAGACAAAUUAAAUUUGCUCCCAGCCUCAGAGAAUCAUCAAGUUUUACAGCUGGAAGUGAUAUUAGAAAUCAUCACCAGCAACUGCCCUCCCACUUUCACCCCAUCCUUCCCAAGACCUACAAGGAACAGGAAGGAGCUGAAGCCCCCGGAGGUUAGGUGACUCACCCAAGGACACAAGCUUCCUGAGUGUCAAGAGCCCCUUUCAGCAGCGACCAGGGCAGCAACAGCAACCUACCGAGCUUGGGUCCCAUCUACAGCUAUGAGAUGUUCCCCUCCUAUACCCAGCAGCAGCCUCAAAGACAGAAGCUUCCCUGGUAGGUCACUCUAGGUCAUUCUGGAGUCCCAGCUUACAGCUUAUUCCUGUCCCUCUUUCAGUGAUUUUGUGAGCACAUAAG